GCCCCUGUAGUAUAACGGAUCAGAACGUGGGCUUGCGGAGCCCGAGAUCAGGGUUCAAUUCCCUGCAGGGGCG
rnacentral:tRNA from 1 species